UGGGGAAUAUUGCACAAUGGGCGGAAGCCUGAUGCAGCGACGCCGCGUGAGGGAUGACGGCCUUCGGGUUGUAAACCUCUUUCAGCAGGGACGAAGCGCAAGUGACGGUACCUGCAGAAGAAGCGCCGGCCAACUACGUGCCAGCAGCCGCGGUAAGACGUAGGGCGCGAGCGUUGUCCGGAAUUAUUGGGCGUAAAGAGCUCGUAGGCGGCUUGUUGCGUCGUCCGUGAAAUCCUGGGGCUCAACUCCAGGCUUGCGGAUGAUACGGGCAGGCUAGAGUUCGGUAGGGGAGACUGGAAUUCCUGGUGUAGCGGUGAAAUGCGCAGAUAUCAGGAGGAACACCGGUGGCGAAGGCGGGUCUCUGGGCCGAUACUGACGCUGAGGAGCGAAAGCGUGGGGAGCGGAACAGGAUUAGAUACCCUGGUAGUCCACGCUGUAAACGUUGGGCGCUAGGUGUGGGGGACCUCUCCGGUUCCUGCGCCGUAGCUAACG
rnacentral:rRNA from 1 species